rnacentral:rRNA from 1 species
AGAGUUUGAUCCUGGCUCAGAUUGAACGCUGGCGGCAGGCCUAACACAUGCAAGUCGAGCGGUAACACAGAGGAGCUUGCUCCUUGGGUGACGAGCGGCGGACGGGUGAGUAAUGCCUGGGGAUCUGCCCGAUAGAGGGGGAUAACUACGGGAAACUGUAGCUAAUACCGCAUAAUGUCUACGGACCAAAGUGGGGGCUCUUCGGACCUCAUGCUAUCGGAUGAACCCAGGUGGGAUUAGCUAGUUGGUGAGGUAAUGGCUCACCAAGGCGACGAUCUCUAACUGGUUUGAGAGAAUGACCAGUCACACUGGAACUGAGACACGGUCCAGACUCCUACGGGAGGCAGCAGUGGGGAAUAUUGCACAAUGGGCGCAAGCCUGAUGCAGCCAUGCCGCGUGUGUGAAGAGGGCCUUCGGGUUGUAAAGCACUUUUCAGCGGGGAGGAAGGGUCACUAGUUAAUACCUAGUGGCAUUGACGUUACUCGCAGAAGAAGCACCGGCUAACUCCGUGCCAGCAGCCGCGGUAAUACGGAGGGUGCAAGCGUUAAUCGGAAUUACUGGGCGUAAAGCGCACGCAGGCGGUUUGUUAAGUCAGUGGUGAAAGUUUUCGGCUCAACCGGAAAAUUGCCAUUGAAACUGAUAGACUUGAGUGUAAACGAGGUAGGCGGAAUUCGUGGUGUAGCGGUGAAAUGCUUAGAUAUCACGAAGAACUCCAAUUGCGAAGGCAGCUUACUAGGCUACAACUGACGCUGAAGCACGAAAGCGUGGGGAUCAAACAGGAUUAGAUACCCUGGUAGUCCACGCAGUAAACGAUGAUAACUAGCUGUUUGCGAUACACAGUAAGCGGCACAGCGAAAGCGUUAAGUUAUCCACCUGGGGAGUACGCCGGCAACGGUGAAACUCAAAGGAAUUGACGGGGGCCCGCACAAGCGGAGGAACAUGUGGUUUAAUUCGAUGAUACGCGAGGAACCUUACCCGGGCUUGAACGUAGGGAGACAGUUCUGGAAACAGAAUCUCUAGCAAUAGCUGCCUACGAGGUGCUGCAUGGUUGUCGUCAGCUCGUGCCGUGAGGUGUCGGCUUAAGUGCCAUAACGAGCGCAACCCACAUCGAUAGUUACUAACAGGUAGUGCUGAGGACUCUAUCGAGACUGCCAGCGCAAGCUGUGAGGAAGGUGUGGAUGACGUCAAAUCAGCACGGCCCUUACGUCCGGGGCGACACACGUGUUACAAUGGGAGGUACAAAGGGCAGCUACCUGGCGACAGGAUGCUAAUCUCUAAAACCUUUCUCAGUUCGGAUUGGAGUCUGCAACUCGACUCCAUGAAGCUGGAUUCGCUAGUAAUCGCGCAUCAGCCAUGGCGCGGUGAAUACGUUCCCGGGCCUUGUACACACCGCCCGUCAAGCCAUGGAAGCUGGGGGUACCUGAAGUAUGCAACCGCAAGGAGCGUCCUAGGGUAAAACCGGUAACUGGGGCUAAGUCGUAACAAGGUAAAC